GAUGAACGCUGGCGGCGUGCCUAACACAUGCAAGUUGAGCGAUUCUCUUCGGAGAAGAGCGGCGGACGGGUGAGUAACGCGUGGGUAACCUGCCCUGUACACACGGAUAACAUACCGAAAGGUAUGCUAAUACGAGAUAAUAUGCUUUUAUCGCAUGGUAGAAGUAUCAAAGCUCCGGCGGUACAGGAUGGACCCGCGUCUGAUUAGCUAGUUGGUAAGGUAACGGCUUACCAAGGCGACGAUCAGUAGCCGACCUGAGAGGGUGAUCGGCCACAUUGGAACUGAGACACGGUCCAAACUCCUACGGGAGGCAGCAGUGGGGAAUAUUGCACAAUGGGCGAAAGCCUGAUGCAGCAACGCCGCGUGAGCGAUGAAGGCCUUCGGGUCGUAAAGCUCUGUCCUCAAGGAAGAUAAUGACGGUACUUGAGGAGGAAGCCCCGGCUAACUACGUG
rnacentral:rRNA from 1 species